CGCAUGAGAUAGACAUCUUCCACACGACCAUAUGGUAAAAAUAUUUCUUCAACUUCCUUCUCUGUAGCUUGUUUGUUCAAUGACCCAACAAAUAACUUGUAUUCAACUGCACCAAGGCGUUCACGUUCACCAUCUGCAUACCUAACUUGAAUAGGACCAAUUCCCCCAGGCAAAGUAUAUUGAUUGUGCAAUGCUCUUAUAGCUCUAUCAGCUUCAGCUGAAGUACCAUACUUAAUAAAACAACAUCCUUGUUGUUGCCCAGUUCUCUUAUCUUUAAUGAAAGCAACCUCGAGUACUCGUCCUUGUUCCUCAAACAAAGGUCGGAUAUCUUCUUCAGUUGCCGUUCUUGGGACAGAUCCAACAAAAAGUUUGGCAAAACCAGCCUCGUCAACUUGUUCUGGAGAAGGGUAACCCCGUUUUUGCCCUGAAAGAGGCCCCGAAAAAGGACGAGGCGGUGGCGGCAUCUGGUAACCUAAAUGCAACCUUCCAGACUCAACCCCACCACCAGUAGCAGCAGUAUCACUAGGGUGCUGAGUAGGGCUAUUAAAGGCCCGGUGGUAACGGGGGCCACGGUAUACAUCCUGACUUUGACGAUGAUGAUGUUGAGGGUUCCCAGAAUCAUCAGAAAAAGUUCUAGGAGAUGGAGGACCCCUUGAAUGCUUGUAUUGAAAUGGGCCUGAGUUGUACCUCUCUCCUUUGUGUCUAUCCAUGGAAAAUUGGAUUUACGAAUACAGGUAUUCUUGAGGAUUAUAGAGAAAAAGGGUCCGAGAAUUGGGGACUCAUAAACCCUAGAGUUGUUUGUGCUAAACUUAUGCUGAACGAAGAAGCUAUGUAUGUACUUUGGG
rnacentral:misc_RNA from 1 species